AGGUCAAGCGAACAAGGGCGCAGGGCGAAUGCCUUGGCACUGGGAGCCGAUGAAAGACGUGAUAAGCUGCGAUAAGCUUCGGGGAGCUGCAAAUAAGCAUUGAUCCGGAGAUCUCUGAAUGAGGAAACUCACCUGGGUUCAUACUCAGGUACGUUAUACUGAACUUCAAAAUAGGUAUAUCGAGGGAACCGCCUGAACUGAAACAUCUAAGUAGGGCGAGGAAAAGACAUCAAACGAGAUUCCGUAAGUAGUGGCGAGCGAACGCGGAAGAGGGCAAACCGGAAGUAGAAAUACUUCCGGGGUAUGGACUGCUUUUAGGACUUAAUCUGUUAACCGAACGGCAUGGGAAGGCCGGUCAGAGAGUGUGAGAACCACGUAGGUGAAAACGGAGAGAGCUGCGCAAGUUCCAGAGUACGGCCAGACACGUGAAACCUGGUCGGAAUACGGGGGGACCACCCUCCAACCCUAAAUACUACCCAGUGACCGAUAGCGUAUAGUACUGUGAAGGAAAGGUGAAAAGCACCCCGGGAGGGGAGUGAAAAAGAACCUGAAACCCUGUGCCUACAAGCACCUAGAGCACGUCAAUGUGUGAUAGGGUACUUUUUGUAGAACGGUCCGGCGAGCGAUUGUAUGCAGCAAGGUUAAGGACUUAAGGUCUGGAGCCGAAGCGAAAGCGAGUUUGAAAAGGGCGUUAAGUUGCAUACAAUGGGCCCGAAACCGGGUGACCUACCCAUGGUCAGGUUGAAGUGGAAGUAAAAUUCCAUGGAGGACCGAACCGACCUCCGUUGAAAAGGCGGCGGAUGAACUGUGGGUAGCGGAGAAAUUCCAAUCGAACCCGGAGAUAGCUGGUUCUCCCCGAAAUAGUUUUAGGACUAGCCUCAAGUUAGAUACCUGGAGGUAAAGCACUGAAUAGCCUAGCGGCCGAGAGGUUAGCGAAGCUUAUCAAACUCAGAAUGCCAGAGUAUUGAUGCUUGGGAGUCAGACAGUGUCAGAUAAAUGUCAUUGUCAAAAGGGAAACAGCCCAGAUCUACAGCUAAGGUCCCAAAGUCAGGUUAAGUGGAAAACGAUGUGAAGAUACGCAGACAACCAGGAUGUUGGCUCAGAAGCAGCCACUCAUUCAAAGAGUGCGUAAUAGCUCACUGGUCGAGCGUCUUUGCGCGGAGAAUUUAACGGGGCUAAACCUGACACCGAAGCUUAGGCAAUACACUUUGUGUAUUGGGUAGGGGAGCGUUGUAUACGCGGUGAAACAGUAGCGCAAGCGGCUGUGGAGUGUAUAGAAGUGAGAAUGCCGGAAUGAGUAGCGCGAAUGCAGUGAGAAUCUGCAUGGCCGAAAGCCUCAGGUUUCUGGAGGAAGGUUCGUCCGCUCCAGGUUAGUCGGGAGCUAAGGUGAGGCCUAACGGCGUAGCCGAUGCACAGACGGUAGAGAUUCCGUCACCACCAAAAGAGUUAAACACAGGGACACAUUUGAAGUCUCGGAGCCGGGUGUUGGUUCCGGUAGCGAUCGAGGGAAGUUAGUACCGAAGUCUGAGAUGGAAGAUGGCGAGAAAAGCUGUGUGUAUUUCUGCGGUGCCCGUACCGCAAACCGACACAGGUAGGUAGGAAGAAGAUUCUAAGGCCAACGGGAGAAGGGUUGUUAAGGAACUCGGCAAAUUGACCCCGUAACUUCGGGAGAAGGGGUGCUGCAGCGAUGCAGCCGCAGAGAAUCGGCCCAAGCAACUGUUUACCAAAAACACAGGUUUGUGCUAAAUCGAAAGAUGACGUAUACGAGCUGACGCCUGCCCGGUGCUGGAAGGUUAAGAGGAGAUGUGCAAGCAUUGAAUCGAAGCCCCAGUGAACGGCGGCCGUAACUAUAACGGUCCUAAGGUAGCGAAAUUCCUUGUCAGGUAAGUUCUGACCCGCAUGAAAGGCGUAAUGAUUUGGGCACUGUCUCAACAGCCCGCCCGGCGAAAUUGUAGUACCGGUGAAGAUGCCGGUUACCCGCGACAAGACGGAAAGACCCCAUGGAGCUUUACUGUAGCCUAAUAUUGGGUUUCGAUGUUGCAUGCACAGGAUAGAUGGGACUCUGGGAAACCGAUGCUUUGGCGUCGGCGGAGAGGCCGUUGGGAUACCAUCCUUGCGAUAUUGGAAUUCUAACCUGCGCCUUUGAAUCAAGGCGGGGGACAUUGUUAGGUGGGCAGUUUGACUGGGGCGGUCGCCUCCUAAAGAGUAACGGAGGCGUUCAAAGGUUCGCUCAGCUUGAACGGAAAUCAAGCAAAAGAGUGCAAACGCAGAAGCGAGCCUAACUGCGAGACUGACGGGUCGAGCAGUAACGAAAGUUGGAGUUAGUGAUCCGGUGGUAUGUGAGUGGAAAUGCCAUCGCUCAACGGAUAAAAGUUACCCUGGGGAUAACAGGCUGAUCUCCCCCAAGAGUCCACAUCGACGGGGAGGUUUGGCACCUCGAUGUCGGCUCAUCGCAUCCUGGGGCUGUAUUCGGUCCCAAGGGUUUGGCUGUUCGCCAAUUAAAGCGGUACGCGAGCUGGGUUCAGAACGUCGUGAGACAGUUCGGUCCCUAUCUGUCGUGGGCGCAGGAUAUUUGAUGGGAGCUGUUCCUAGUACGAGAGGACCGGAGCGGACGUACCUCUGGCGCACCAGUUGUUCUGCCAAGAGCAUAGCUGGGCAACUAUGUACGGAUCGGAUAAACGCUGAAAGCAUCUAAGCGUGAAGCCGACCCAAAGAUAAGAUAUCCCAUUGUUUCAAACAAGUAAGACCCCUUGAAGACUACAAGGUUGAUAGGCACGAUGUGUAAGUGGAG
rnacentral:rRNA from 1 species